AUGUCUACUUGGAGGUUGUGCCCUUGAGGCGUGGCUUCCGGAGCUAACGCGUUAAGUAGACCGCCUGGGGAGUACGGCCGCAAGGUUAAAACUCAAAUGAAUUGACGGGGGCCCGCACAAGCGGUGGAGCAUGUGGUUUAAUUCGAUGCAACGCGAAGAACCUUACCUGGUCUUGACAUCCACAGAAGAAUCCAGAGAUGGAUUUGUGCCUUCGGGAACUGUGAGACAGGUGCUGCAUGGCUGUCGUCAGCUCGUGUUGUGAAAUGUUGGGUUAAGUCCCGCAACGAGCGCAAC
rnacentral:rRNA from 2 species